AUGGAGUGGAUUUCUUUGAUUAUGGCAUGCGUUAAAUCAGUGAAAUAUUCGGUGAAAUUCAAUGGAAAGAUUCUAGAGUCCUUUAACCCCUCUAGGGGUUUGCGGCAAGGUGACCCAUUGUCCCCCUUUCUGUUCCUAUUUGUGGCUGAUGCUCUGUCCUCUCUUAUUUCAAAUUCGGUUAACAAUGUGGAGUUGAGGGGGAUCGCAAUAUGCCGUGGUGCACCGGUGAUCUCUCAUUUUCUGUUUGCGGAUGAUACCAUGUUGUUAUUUGAAGCGUCAACCCAGCAAGCAAGCAUUGUCAAAGGUUUGUUGAACACAUACACCUCAGCGACAGGUCAACUUAUUAACCCUGGGAAGUGUUCCAUCCUGUUCUCGGACAAUUGCAUGCCUAGGGUGGCGGAGGACGUGAAACAUAUGCUAGAAGUUUCGCAACAGGUUUUCGAGCCUAAAUACUUGGGCUUACCGGUUCCAGAGGGAUGA
rnacentral:rRNA from 1 species